rnacentral:rRNA from 1 species
UACGUAGGGGGCAAGCGUUGUCCGGAAUCAUUGGGCGUAAAGAGCGUGUAGGCGGCCCGGUAAGUCCGCUGUGAAAGUCCAGGGCUCAACCCUGGGAUGCCGGUCGAUACUGCCGGACUAGAGUUCGGAAGAGGCGAGUGGAAUUCCCGGUGUAGCGGUGAAAUGCGCAGAUAUCGGGAGGAACACCAGUGGCGAAGGCGGCUUCUGGCCCGUUCUUGACGCUGAGGCGGCGAAAGCUAGGGUAGCAAACGGG